GAAAUGCGAUAAGUAAUGUGAAUUGCAGAAUUCAGUGAAUCAUCGAAUCUUUGAACGCACAUUGCGCCCCUUGGUAUUCCGAGGGGCAUGCCCGUUCGAGCGUCAUUAUAACCCUUCAAGCCUAGCUUGGUGUUGGGGCCUGCUGUUACCGGCAGCCCUUAAAAUCAGUGGCGGUGCCAUCUGGCUCUAAGCGUAGUAAUACUCCUCGCUACAGAGUCCCGGUGGAUGCGUGCCAUCAACCCCCAAUUUUCUAUGGUUGACCUCGGAUCGGGUAGGGAUACCCGCUGAACUUAA
rnacentral:misc_RNA from 1 species